AGAUUUAUCGGUCAGGGAUGGGCCUGCGUCUGAUUAACUAGUUGGUGAGGUAACGGCUCACCAAGGUG
rnacentral:rRNA from 1 species